UGAGGAAUAUUGGUCAAUGGGCGAGAGCCUGAACCAGCCAAGUAGCGUGCAGGAUGACAGCCCUAUGGGUUGUAAACUGCUUUUAUAUGGGAAUAAAGUGAGGGACGUGUCCCUUAUUGCAUGUACCAUAUGAAUAAGGACCGGCUAAUUCCGUGCCAGCAGCCGCGGUAAUACGGAAGGUCCAGGCGUUAUCCGGAUUUAUUGGGUUUAAAGGGAGCGUAGGCUGUUUGUUAAGCGUGUUGUGAAAUGUAAGAGCUCAACUUUUAGAUUGCAGCGCGAACUGGCAGACUUGAGUGCGCACAACGUAGGCGGAAUUCAUGGUGUAGCGGUGAAAUGCUUAGAUAUCAUGACGAACUCCGAUUGCGAAGGCAGCUUACGGGAGCGCAACUGACGCUAAAGCUCGAAGGUGCGGGUAUCGAACAGG
rnacentral:rRNA from 1 species